UGCAUCCACCUGCACACCACGGGACUGGCUGCCUGCAUCUCUCUCGCCUGCAAACUAACCCUGUGGAAGCCGCUGUGAGGCAGGAACGGAGUGCCGUUGCCGUCCUGGGUUUAGCACGAUCAGGCAUCCCACCUUGCUGGCGUUUGAGCUGGGCGGGCGACAGAGGAAGAUGGGGUGAGGCCCAAACAUUGGACUAUCAUCAUAAAGAUCGUCCUGGCAAUGGAAGUCAGGAUAUGAGUCGUCAACGAUGCACCUCGACAAGGGACGGAACCUCGGGCCCCUUGCAUCCCAGACGAGACGUUGAGGGGCCCUUGCCUUGCGCUACAAAGCAUCUUCAAUCAAUUGUUUUGAAAGGCCUUUCCGUUUUCCAAAUGGCCGCGGACGAUGCCGGCGGUUCUGUUGUUUCUCUCCGUAAACGACUCUCUUCGGUGACGGGUAUUCUUGGGUGGAUAAUACGGCGCUCGUUGUUAUUGCUUAAGAAUACGCGUAGUCGAGGAGAGUCAUGUCAGCGGUGCCUGCAGUGGACUAGAGAGAGCGUUGAAUCCAGAAGGCCCACCUGCUUGCACACAAACACUCACAAACACACACAUGUAUGUUUACUAAGCUAUCUGAAAGAGGUCAAACUAUAGAUUUAUAGGGUUUAAAAAGAAAAGGGAAUUAUAAUAACUAUGUAACUAAUAAUCCUACCCUUAAAAGAUAACUGUAUUAUCUGUAAUAUAUAACUGUAUUAUUUGGUGACCCGAAUGUCACCAAAAGAAGGUUUUGUCAUAUUUAGCUCAUAUUUUGGGACAAAUUUGUCUCCAGACUAGUGCUAAAUAAACAUAGCUAAAUGGGGAUAUACGGUAGACCUCUCUUGGUUUUAAAUUAUGCUUAUCAUAAUUACUUUAGACUAAAACUACCCCUAAAAGAAAAUUGCAUUUUUAGAAUAAUAAUAAAAAACAACAUCUAUUUGCUUUAUUUAUGAAUCAUUUUUCCAUUUGAGGACGUCCCCGAAUGCCUCCAAAGGGAGGACCCAAGAUAAAUAAGUUGGGAAACACUACUAUUGACUAACCUAACACUACCCCUAAAGAAUAAAUAUGAUUAUUUAUAGAAUUUAGAACAUUAUUAGAAUUAUUACAACAUUAUUAGAAUUUACAACAAUAUUUGCUUUAAUUAUUAAUUGUUUUUUGAAUUGAGGACGACUCUGAAUGUCCUCAAAGGGAGGUUUUGAGAGAUUUAGCUCACCUCUGGGGACAAUUUUGUCACCAAACUAUAAAGAGUAAAUCCCCAAUCACAUACAUGUUUACUUAGCUAUUUAAAUGGCGACAUGGCAUAGACAAAGCUAAUCAUAAUUACUAUAGACUAACCCUGAACCUACCCCUCAAAGAAAACUGGAUUUACAUAAUAGUAAAACAGCAUUAUUUUGCUUUAUUUAUCGUUUUUUCCAAAUGAGCUCAUCCCCAAAUGGAGGUUUUGUCAGAUUUAGCUGACUUCUGGGGACACAUCUCUACUAACUAUAGCUAAGUAAACCCACACACACACACACACACACACACACACACACAUACACACAUUCAUUUGCAAAUGCUAAGAUUUAAACCCACACCCAUGUACAGGAUUGAGUCAGCAAAGCUGCAUUUCUUGUUUGUGUGUGAUGGUCGUGUUGUUGAUUCUCCGGCUACUACUAAAUAUGUUUUCACUGUAUAUCUGCCACCAAAAAUGAAGAAUGGGUUUUAUUUGUAUAGUGUUUUGCUGUGCUUUUGUGUUUCUUUGUAGAUUGUACAUUUGUGAUUUGAGUUUUGUUUUUAAAUGUGUGUCAGAUUUUGCAAGGGACACUGUAUAUUCUAACGUGCCGGGCGGGGUUGUAGAUGCAGAUAUGUUUGGUUUGUGCCAUAUAUUCUCUUCUCAGGACCUCACACACUCCACCUUUUUAAUGUAAACGGAUUUUGAAAUUACAUUUAUCGUGCAGGGUUUCCAUAUGGAAGUCCUAACUCCAGGAGGGCUGGGGGGAAAACAAAAUGGAAUGAAAUGUCCACAACGCCAGUGACAGCUAAAUGUAUGCGCUGGUAGGGAGACGGAUUGUAAAGGAACACACUGCAGAUAAACAGUUACCAUGGGCUUAGGUUGACUCCGGCAUAGCUUCCCAUGUCAUGAAUAUGUAUCAGCUGUGCAUAUGAUGGCGCAUUCUAACGUCCAUGAAAAUCCAUUAAAGGAAGCUAAUAGGAUCUACUUGACUUAUGAAAGCAUGCGAUCAGAUGUAUCAGAUCUUAUAAAUAUACAUGACAUUUUUUAUUUUGCUUAGUUUUUAUUUUAUUUUAGAAAUUGCAUAAAAACAAAAGAGAUUGCAUUUGGACCGACUGUUGAUGUAUUGAUUUGUAAAUCUGCAAACAUUUUAAUUUGUUCUCCAUUAUCAUUUAGCACAUUUAAAUGACAUAUUAGCAUUUCACACAGACUAAAGCAACAAUCAGGCGGCUCGUUCGUUGAUCACUCUGUAAUUAUCGUUCUUUCGGCUAUGUGUUUAAAUGAAUAGAGAGAAGGAGGUGUUGAUAAAGGGAGUAGAGAAGGAAUAAUAAAAUAUCUUUACCACUAGGGGACACACACAACUGAAAAUCAGAUGAGAUUAUAUCCGUUUUUAGUCUGUUAGAGAAUUUCUAUGUUUUAUUUAAGAAGGAACUUUUUAUUGUUAGCAUGUAUCAUCAGAUGAUGUAAUAUUUAUUUUAUUCUUAGUAUAUUUUUUUUUAUUCAUGCUAAACAGUGCCUUAGCUGUGACUAUUACAAGGUCACAUGCUGCUCAUUAACAAUGAUCUGUAUUAUCACCCUUUAUGUUAGACUAUUUUCAUAGAUAUGAGAAGACUUUUUUUGUUUAAUAAUCUUUUUUUUUUUUUCUAAUUUCCUUUUUUAUAUUUUGCAAUCAUUUUUUAUUUUUAUUGUAUUUUUAUUUUUUUUUUUAUAAAAUAUUCUACACCGCACAUUGUACAGCACAAUUGCUGUUAGAGUUCUAAUGACGGGAAGCAUAUUGACAGAAUUAUCUCUAUUAUAUAAUGUUUAUUGAUGCUGAGUAAAUAUCUUUGACUGAUUCCAGUGUAAACCCCUCACAAAGAUUAACGUCCAUCUGCCUGCAGUUUAUGAUGUUAUGAAAUUAUUCAGGCUCAUCCUAAUUUGCACUUUAUUGAAAUUAUCUUUAUGUGCACAUUUGCUUAAUGUUGCUCCUCUUCAUCUGAUUAAUAAAGCU